AAGAAAAGUGGCAAACGGGUGCGUAACACAUUGGUAACCUACCUCAAAGACGGGAAUAACUCGGGGAAACUCGAGCUAAUACCCGAUGUGCUUAUUCCAUUAUGUGGAAUAAGUAAAGCUCCGGCGCUUUGAGAGGGGCCUAUGUCCUAUCAGCUUGUUGGUAAGGUAAAAGCUUACCAAGGCUACGACGGGUAGCGGGUGUGAGAGCACGACCCGCCUCACUGGGACUGAGACACUGCCCAG
rnacentral:rRNA from 1 species